ensembl:lncRNA
AGCACUUUCCCCUUAUAAUCUUUAAAUUAUUAGAAUGAAUUUUAAAAACAUUAUUACUCACAAUUUUCUAAACAAAGAGUGAAAUAAAAGAAAAAUAUUAGAGUAUUUUAAUGGUGCAGCAUUUCCAAUAAUGCAGUAAUUCUGUAAUUGAGGUACAUAAAUGCUAGCUUUCGAAUGAGUCUCAGUGAGACAAAAGAGUUUGCUCCAAAAAAAGGCUUACAUCACAGAAUGAAUAGUGCUUUCAUGAUGGUUCAGGGGGGAAAAAGAAUUGAUGUAAUUUGCAUGGCUUGAAUUUCCCCGGGGCAGGAGCUCACGUCUCCUGGAGAUUAACAUGGAGCAGGUAAACAGUGAGGGAGGGUUAGUUAGCACCAGACGGACAGAAGAGCAGCAUGGAGAGAGACACGCAGAGCUCCAGUACAGCAGCAGACCAUGAGAACGGCUCCAGUCUGUUCCACCGCCGGCUGACGCACCGCAGAGAGCUGAAGUUCCUGUUACACAGGCUGACUGUGAUUGGCCGUCUGUCCUGCGGAGCGGCUGACAGGAGGACUGUGGGAGAUCACUACGAGAGGCUGAUUCUCAGUCUGCAGAGGAUCCGAGCGGGUGAAGACGUCACCGGUCUCCUGCUGCUUUACCCUCAACACGUGCUGCUCGUCAUCGAGGUGCUUCAUCUGCAGUCCACAGUGUGUGCAUCAGUUACUCAGCCUCAUGCUUCACUCCCAUGACUUUCUGCCUCUGUGGAACAUAAACAGAACAUUCAUGCAAGUUUUUGCAACUAAAACUGAAACAAAAAUAAAGUAUGGAAGCUUGUUUCUGCCA